rnacentral:lncRNA from 1 species
UUUAUUUCAGAUGAGUUCUCAUUAAAUUAAGGAAUGACAAGGACAGAACUUGAUUGUUUGGUCGGUCGAAUUAGGCAAAGCAUCUCUGUUUCUAUUGUUUAUUAAAUCGGAUAACACGACAAAAACAGAGUGACAUCUCAGAGAUCCCCCACCUCCAAAAUUCAAAACUCAUAACUUGAUCACGUACAUUCCCCCACAGAGCCCAUUCAAAAUACAAGUUUUAAGUAUGUUACAAGUUCUACUUACCCAUAUAAUACAAGGUCAUUAGAUAAUACUAUACUGGCUUCUAACAAUAGGCAUUCAUCGACAUACUAACUCGAGUGUUCUUCGAUCUUCUCGAUCAAAAGCUUAACUAGGCAGUUCCUGCAGACAUAACUGGUCUGUCCAUGGCUCAAAAGCUCCAUAUAGCAGCAAAUGCUGCACCAACAAAAACCUUCACAUGAGCAUACGCACAAACUAUGCCUGGAUUGUAAGAUUGUUGACCUAGUUAGCUAGAUUCUAUUUGGUUUGGCCAGUAUUAGACUAGUGCCAUGACUAUGUUGUUACUGAUAAGUGUAUCUCUUUCUCUUUGAUAAUUCGACUUGAUUAGGAUCCAAUAACCACAACAUGAUCCUCAGCCUAGACCGAGUGAGUCUAAAUAUGGAUAUUGAGAUGUUGUCUCACUCUCACGUUGUCAUUCAUGAUAACAGCUAUUCUAAACAAACAACUAGCAAUGUGCCACAUUCACCUGCAACCAAUAGACGAAUCCACGCAAGAGAUUCAACGUUUCACGGCGAUGAUGGUUGCCCUCUGGAUCCUUCUGCACCUCAUCAAGCUUCUUUGCAAAGUCUACAAUGUCAUGAAAACAAACAAAAUGGUUUUCAACAUAUGAUGACUGCCUCAGUGUAACGAUACUCUACAAAGUACAGUAAGUAACUGAUGAGAUGACGGAUCAAGGUUAGACAUGCCAGGACCAGG